AAUCAACGCUGGCGGCGUGCCUCAGACAUGCAAGUCGAACGAUUAAAGCUCUCUUCGGAGAGUGCAUAGAGUGGCGCACGGGUGAGUAACACGUAAGUAAUCUACCUUCGAGUGGGGAAUAACGUCCGGAAACGGACGCUAAUACCGCAUAAUGCAGCGGCAUCGCAAGAUGACAGUUGUUAAAGGAGCAAUUCGCUUGAAGAGGAGCUUGCGGCAGAUUAGCUUGUUGGUAAGGUAACGGCUUACCAAGGCUACGAUCUGUAACCGGUCUAAGAGGACGGUCGGUCACACUGACACUGAAUAACGGGUCAGACUCCUACGGGAGGCAGCAGUCGGGAAUUUUGGGCAAUGGGGGAAACCCUGACCCAGCAACGCCGCGUGAAGGAUGAAGUAUUUCGGUAUGUAAACUUCGAAAGAAUAGGAAGAAUAAAUGAC
rnacentral:rRNA from 1 species